rnacentral:rRNA from 1 species
GACGAACGCUGGCGGCGUGCUUAACACAUGCAAGUCGAACGGUGAAGCGCCUUCCUUUUUGGUGGGUUUGGAUGUGUGGCGAACGGGUGCGUAACACGUGAGUAACCUGCCCCCUUCUUCUGGAUAACCGCAUUAAAGUGUGUCUAAUACGGGAUAUUCUGGGUCUGUCGCAUCAUGGGUCUGGGCAAGCUAUUGUUUCGGUGGUUGAUGGGCUCGCGGCCUAUCAGCUUGUUGGUGGGGUGAUGGCCUACCAAGGCGGUGCCGGGUAGCCGGCCUGAGAGGGUGGACGGUCACAAUGGGACUGAGACACGGAGCAGACUCAUACAGGAGGAAGCAGUGGGGAAUAGUGAACAAUGGGCGGAAGGAUGAAGAAGCGACGCGGCGGGAGGGAUGGAGGCCUGCGGGUUGUGAACCUCUUGCGCAAGUGAAGCAGGCCUGCCUCGUGUGUGGGUGGGUUGACGGUAGCAGGAUAAGAAGAGCCGGCUAACUACGUG